AGCCCAUGGAUCAUACCACACUGUUCUUUCUGCAAAACAGUUGAGAAUUACCAGUAAUUGGGACUGUUUACAUUCAAUGCCAUCCUGACAGAAGCAGCUUUAUUAUAUUGCAGAGGGAUAAUUAAUAUAUGAUGGGGAUUAAAGAUUGCAUCACAGCAGAUUGAAUCCCAAGUUCCACCCAGGAAGAGGAGGGGCCGGGCUCCUUCCUGCUGCAAGGGCCAGAAAUUCUGUGUCUUGCAGUGUCAUAGGAUUCAUAAGUAUGAGAGAGAUCUGCCCGGAAUAUGUGAAGAGAAUUUGGAGGACACAUUGGGAACUGCAUGGAUCUCACCUAUAGGAGAUAUUACCCAACAUGACAGGGACUGAAAAGAAGCAGGUAGCCGUCCCCU